UUACGGUCAAAUCACGCUGAAACACCGGUUCUCGUACGAUCACCGAAGUUAAGCAUCGUAGAGCCAGGUCAGUACUUAGAUGGGGGACCGCUUGGGAACACCUGGUACUGUAAG
rnacentral:rRNA from 1 species